rnacentral:rRNA from 1 species
UUAAGCGACUAAGCGUACACGGUGGAUGCCCUGGCAGUCAGAGGCGAUGAAGGACGUGCUAAUCUGCGAAAAGCGUCGGUAAGGUGAUAUGAACCGUUAUAGCCGGCGAUGUCCGAAUGGGGAAACCCAGUGCAAUUCGUUGCACUAUCGUUAACUGAAUACAUAGGUUAACGAGGCGAACCGGGGGAACUGAAACAUCUAAGUACCCCGAGGAAAAGAAAUCAACCGAGAUUCCCCCAGUAGCGGCGAGCGAACGGGGAGCAGCCCAGAGUCUGAAUCAGCUUGUGUGUUAGUGGAACGGUCUGGAAAGUCCGACGGUACAGGGUGAUAGUCCCGUACACCAAAAUGCACAGGCUGUGAACUCGAAGAGUAGGGCGGGACACGUGGUAUCCUGUCUGAAUAUGGGGGGACCAUCCUCCAAGGCUAAAUACUCCUGACUGACCGAUAGUGAACCAGUACCGUGAGGGAAAGGCGAAAAGAACCCCGGCGAGGGGAGUGAAAAAGAACCUGAAACCGUGUACGUACAAGCAGUGGGAGCACCUUUAUGGUGUGACUGCGUACCUUUUGUAUAAUGGGUCAGCGACUUAUAUUCUGUAGCAAGGUUAACCGUAUAGGGGAGCCGCAGGGAAACCGAGUCUUAACUGGGCGUUAAGUUGCAGGGUAUAGACCCGAAACCCGGUGAUCUAGCCAUGGGCAGGUUGAAGGUUGGGUAACACUAACUGGAGGACCGAACCGACUAAUGUUGAAAAAUUAGCGGAUGACUUGUGGCUGGGGGUGAAAGGCCAAUCAAACCGGGAGAUAGCUGGUUCUCCCCGAAAGCUAUUUAGGUAGCGCCUCGUGAACUCAUCUUCGGGGGUAGAGCACUGUUUCGGCUAGGGGGUCAUCCCGACUUACCAACCCGAUGCAAACUACGAAUACCGAAGAAUGUUAUCACGGGAGACACACGGCGGGUGCUAACGUCCGUCGUGAAGAGGGAAACAACCCAGACCGCCAGCUAAGGUCCCAAAGUCAUGGUUAAGUGGGAAACGAUGUGGGAAGGCACAGACAGCCAGGAUGUUGGCUUAGAAGCAGCCAUCAUUUAAAGAAAGCGUAAUAGCUCACUGGUCGAGUCGGCCUGCGCGGAAGAUGUAACGGGGCUAAACCAUGCACCGAAGCUGCGGCAGCGACACUAUGUGUUGUUGGGUAGGGGAGCGUUCUGUAAGCCUGCGAAGGUGACCUGUGAGGGUUGCUGGAGGUAUCAGAAGUGCGAAUGCUGACAUAAGUAACGAUAAAGCGGGUGAAAAGCCCGCUCGCCGGAAGACCAAGGGUUCCUGUCCAACGUUAAUCGGGGCAGGGUGAGUCGACCCCUAAGGCGAGGCCGAAAGGCGUAGUCGAUGGGAAACAGGUUAAUAUUCCUGUACUUGGUGUUACUGCGAAGGGGGGACGGAGAAGGCUAUGUUAGCCGGGCGACGGUUGUCCCGGUUUAAGCAUGUAGGCUGGUUAUCCAGGCAAAUCCGGAUAAUCAAGGCUGAGGUGUGAUGACGAGGCACUACGGUGCUGAAGUAACAAAUGCCCUGCUUCCAGGAAAAGCCUCUAAGCAUCAGGUAACAUCAAAUCGUACCCCAAACCGACACAGGUGGUCAGGUAGAGAAUACCAAGGCGCUUGAGAGAACUCGGGUGAAGGAACUAGGCAAAAUGGUGCCGUAACUUCGGGAGAAGGCACGCUGGUGUGUAGGUGAAGUCCCUGCGGAUGGAGCUGAGACCAGUCGAAGAUACCAGCUGGCUGCAACUGUUUAUUAAAAACACAGCACUGUGCAAACACGAAAGUGGACGUAUACGGUGUGACGCCUGCCCGGUGCCGGAAGGUUAAUUGAUGGGGUUAUCCGUAAGGAGAAGCUCUUGAUCGAAGCCCCGGUAAACGGCGGCCGUAACUAUAACGGUCCUAAGGUAGCGAAAUUCCUUGUCGGGUAAGUUCCGACCUGCACGAAUGGCGUAAUGAUGGCCAGGCUGUCUCCACCCGAGACUCAGUGAAAUUGAACUCGCUGUGAAGAUGCAGUGUACCCGCGGCAAGACGGAAAGACCCCGUGAACCUUUACUAUAGCUUGACACUGAACAUUGAGCCUUGAUGUGUAGGAUAGGUGGGAGGCUUUGAAGCGUGGACGCCAGUCUGCGUGGAGCCAACCUUGAAAUACCACCCUUUAAUGUUUGAUGUUCUAACGUUGGCCCCUUAUCGGGGUUGCGGACAGUGUCUGGUGGGUAGUUUGACUGGGGCGGUCUCCUCCCAAAGCGUAACGGAGGAGCACGAAGGUUAGCUAAUCCUGGUCGGACAUCAGGAGGUUAGUGCAAUGGCAUAAGCUAGCUUGACUGCGAGCGUGACGGCGCGAGCAGGUGCGAAAGCAGGUCAUAGUGAUCCGGUGGUUCUGAAUGGAAGGGCCAUCGCUCAACGGAUAAAAGGUACUCCGGGGAUAACAGGCUGAUACCGCCCAAGAGUUCAUAUCGACGGCGGUGUUUGGCACCUCGAUGUCGGCUCAUCACAUCCUGGGGCUGAAGUAGGUCCCAAGGGUAUGGCUGUUCGCCAUUUAAAGUGGUACGCGAGCUGGGUUUAGAACGUCGUGAGACAGUUCGGUCCCUAUCUGCCGUGGGCGCUGGAGAAUUGAGGGGGGCUGCUCCUAGUACGAGAGGACCGGAGUGGACGCAUCACUGGUGUUCGGGUUGUCAUGCCAAUGGCACUGCCCGGUAGCUAAAUGCGGAAGAGAUAAGUGCUGAAAGCAUCUAAGCACGAAACUUGCCCCGAGAUGAGUUCUCCCUGAGACUUUAAGUCUCCUGAAGGAACGUUAAAGACGAUGACGUUGAUAGGCCGGGUGUGUAAGCGCAGCGAUGCGUUGAGCUAACCGGUACUAAUGAACCGUGAGGCUUAACCU